ensembl:rRNA 5S_rRNA 5S ribosomal RNA
GUCUAUGGCCAUACCACCCUGAAUACACCUGUUUUUGUCUUAUCUUGGAAGCUAAGCAGGGUCGGGCCUGGUUAGUGCUUGGAUGGGGGACUACCAAUAGGGUAUGAAUGUAUCCAUAUAUA